rnacentral:rRNA from 1 species
CGGCGGGCCUGUUCCGUCGCCCCGUUCCCCUUCCCCCACGAACAAAACCCCGGCGCACGAUGCGCCAAGGAAUCGCAACGAGAAAAGGAACGAGCACCCGUYGCGCRCCGGGAACGGAAUGCGCACGGGSGGCCUCGUAUUCUUUGAAAACAAAACGACUCUCGGCAACGGAUAUCUCGGCUCUCGCAUCGAUGAAGAACGUAGCGAAAUGCGAUACUUGGUGUGAAUUGCAGAAUCCCGUGAACCAUCGAGUCUUUGAACGCAAGUUGCGCCCGAAGCCUUCGGGCCGAGGGCACGUCUGCCUGGGUGUCAUGCACCGUCGCCCCCCAUCCCCACUCCCCCGAGGGGAGUCGGGAAGCCCGGGGCGGACAAUGGCCUCCCGUGCGCUCUCGCUCGCGGUUGGCCUAAAUCCGAGUUGUUGGCGGCGAGCGCCACGGCAAGCGGUGGUUGGAAAGACCCUCUGAAGUGUCG